GCCUGGGUGGCUUGGUCGGUUAAGCGUCUGACUUCGGCUCAGGUCAUGAUCUCAUGGUCCGUGAGUUCGAGCCCCACGUCGGGCU
rnacentral:tRNA from 1 species